rnacentral:rRNA from 1 species
UAUUGCACGAUGGGGGAAACCCUGAUGCAGCGACGCCGCGUGAGUGAAGAAGUAUUUCGGUAUGUAAAGCUCUAUCAGCAGGGAAGAAAAUGACGGUACCUGAUUAAGAAGCCCCGGCUAACCACGUUCCAGCAGCCGCGGUAAUACGUAGGGGGCAAGCGUUAGCCGGAUUUACUGGGCGUAAAGGGAGCGUAGACGGCAGCACAAGUCUGGAGUGAAAUGCCGGGGCUUAACCCCGGAACUGCUUUGGAAACUGUGCAGCUAGAGUGCAGGAGAGGUAAGUGGAAUUCCUAGUGUAGCGGUGAAAUGCGUAGAUAUUAGGAGGAACACCAGUGGCGAGGGCGGCUUACUGGACUGUAACUGACGUUGAGGCUCGAGAGCGUGGGGAGCAGACAGG